rnacentral:rRNA from 1 species
UACGGAAUGUGCAAACGUUAUUCGGAAUUACUGGGCUUACAGAGUUCGUAGGCGGCUCCGAAAGUUGGGUGUGAAAUCCCUCGGCCCAACCGAGGAAUUGCGCUCAAAACUACUGAGCUUGAGGGGUAUAGAGGUAAGCGGAACUGAUGGUGGAGCGGUGAAAUGCGUUGAUAUCAUCAGGAACACCGGUGGCGAAGGCGGCUUACUGGGUAGCUCCUGACGCUGAGGAACGAAAGCUAGGGGAGCGAACGGG